rnacentral:rRNA from 1 species
CACGUAGGGGGCAAGCGUUGUCCGGAUUUAUUGGGCGUAAAGAGCUCGUAGGCGGCUUAGUAAGUCGGGUGUGAAACCUCCAGGCUCAACCUGGAGACGCCACCCGAUACUGCUGUGGCUAGAGUCCGGUAGGGGAGCGUGGAAUUCCUGGUGUAGCGGUGAAAUGCGCAGAUAUCAGGAGGAACACCAGCGGCGAAGGCGGCGCUCUGGGCCGGUACUGACGCUGAGGAGCGGAAGCGUGGGGAGCAAACAGG